GAUUCAAAACCAGGAACCCACGCCGGCGGCAGCCAAUUAGCGCGCUUCCUCCGCCGGGCCUCUCGUAGCCGCUCCGGCCAAUGGCGAGCCGACGGCUCCCGACGGCAGCCAAUGGCAAGCGAUUGGAGAGGUGUGGGGGGGGGAACAAGACCCGCCCUCCGAGCUUUUCUGCGCUGCCCGAGGCUGGAGUGCGGGUCCAAAAUAUUAGACGUGUCUAUGCUCAGCCUGAAAGCUUUCUACAGGAAUGCAUAGAAUUCUGGUACUAUCAGUCAGCUCCGCAUAAGUGUCCUGC